UACGGAGGGGGCUAGCGUUGUUCGGAAUUACUGGGCGUAAAGCGCGCGUAGGCGGAUCUGCAAGUCGGGGGUGAAAUCCCGGAGGCUCAACCUCGGAACUGCCUUCGAUACUGCGGGUCUCGAGUCCGGGAGAGGUGAGUGGAAUCGUAGUGUAGAGGUGAAAUUCGUAGAUAUUAGAAGAACACCAGUGGCGAAGGCGGCUCACCUGGCC
rnacentral:rRNA from 1 species